UACAGAGGUCUCAAGCGUUGUUCGGAUUCAUUGGGCGUAAAGGGUGCGUAGGUGGCGCUGUAAGUCGGGUGUGAAAUUUCGGAGCUUAACUCCGAAACUGCAUUCGAUACUGCGGUGCUUGAGGACUUGGAGAGGAGACGUGGAAUUCAUGGUGUAGCAGUGAAAUGCGUAGAGAUCAUGAGGAAGACCAGUGGCGAAGGCGGGUCUCUGGACAGUUCCUGACACUGAGGCACGAAGGCCAGGGGAGCAAACGGG
rnacentral:rRNA from 1 species